rnacentral:rRNA from 1 species
CCUACGGGUGGCUGCAGUAGGGAAUAUUGGGCAAUGGGCGGGAGCCUGACCCAGCCAUGCCGCGUGCAGGAAGACGGCCCUUCGGGUUGUAAACUGCUUUUAUCAGGGAAGAACGGCAGGGGUGCGCCCCUGCGUGACGGUACCUGAGGAAUCAGCACCGGCUAACUCCGUGCCAGCAGCCGCGGUAAUACGGAGGGUGCAAGCGUUGUCCGGAUUUAUUGGGUUUAAAGGGUGCGUAGGUGGCUUCUUAAGUCUGACCUGAAAGUGGGCCGCUC